GUCUAUGUAGUAUACUAA
rnacentral:tRNA from 3 species